rnacentral:rRNA from 1 species
GAUGAACGCUGGCGGCGUGCCUAAUACAUGCAAGUCGAGCGAACGGACGAGAAGCUUGCUUCUCUGAUGUUAGCGGCGGACGGGUGAGUAACACGUGGAUAACCUACCUAUAAGACUGGGAUAACUUCGGGAAACCGGAGCUAAUACCGGAUAAUAUUUUGAACCGCAUGGUUCAAAAGUGAAAGACGGUCUUGCUGUCACUUAUAGAUGGAUCCGCGCUGCAUUAGCUAGUUGGUAAGGUAACGGCUCACUAAGGCAACGAUGCAUAGCCGACCUGAGAGGGUGAUCGGCCACACUGGAACUGAGACACGGUCCAGACUCCUACGGGAGGCAGCAGUAGGGAAUCUUCCGCAAUGGGCGAAAGCCUGACGGAGCAACGCCGCGUGAGUGAUGAAGGUCUUCGGAUCGUAAAACUCUGUUAUUAGGGAAGAACAUAUGUGUAAGUAACUGUGCACAUCUUGACGGUACCUAAUCAGAAAGCCACGGCUAACUACGUG